rnacentral:tRNA from 1 species
GCCUCUGUAGCGGAGUGGUUAAUGCGUUUGUCUUGUAAACAAAAGAUCGUGGGUUCGAAUCCCACCUGAGGCC